AAUAGAUACCCCGGUAGUCCACACCGUAAACGUUGGGCGCUAGGUGUGGGAUCCAUUCCACGGGUUCCGUGCCGUAGCUAACGCAUUAAGCGCCCCGCCUGGGGAGUACGGCCGCAAGGCUAAAACUCAAAGGAAUUGACGGGGGGCCCGCACAAGCGGCGGAGCAUGCGGAUUAAUUCGAUGCAACGCGAAGAACCUUACCUGGGUUUGACAUACACCGGAAAGCAUCAGAGAUGGUGCCCCUUUUUGUCGGUGUACAGGUGGUGCAUGGCUGUCGUCAGCUCGUGUCGUGAGAUGUUGGGUUAAGUCCCGCAACGAGCGCAACCCUCGUCCUAUGUUGCCAGCACGCCCUACCAGUUCGGCUGGGGGUGGUGGGGACUCAUGGGAGACUGCCGGGGCCAACUCGGAGGAAGGUGGGGAUGACGUCAAGUCAUCAUGCCCCUUAUGUCCAGGGCUUCACGCAUGCUACAAUGGCCGGUACAGAGGGCUGCGAUCCCGUGAGGGGGAGCGAAUCCCUAAAAGCCGGUCUCAGUUCGGAUUGGGGU
rnacentral:rRNA from 1 species